GUUCUAUUAUUUGCUUCUUAAUGAAAGAGAUGGGCUUAACUUCAAAAGUAACUCUCUUUUCCAUGUGAUUUGUAAAUUUUGGGUUUUUUACACUAGCAUCUGAACAGGAAUAUUCACAGCUAAUUCAUGUCACUCAGAUCGUGGUCCAGCUUGCUUUCAACAUCUCUGAAGAAAGAUGUUGUAAUGUUUCAUAAGGUUAAAAAAUCACAUUGUUAGAUGGUCAGGAGAUGACUGGAAGAUAAACUGUCUUCCUUUACUGGUUCCUUCUGUUUGCUGAAGCAUCUUUGGCGCAGGUUUUUAUUCUUGCUCAUGGAAAUAUGUGAAUACAUUUGAAAUGAUCAGUGUUGCAGCAUGGCCUAGGAAGGAGAGUCACAGAGCAGAGAUUUUGAGUCAGCUGCUGUUACUGUAGUGUGCGAAGGAGUUGAACUUGCUUGCAUACCCAGGAAAGAUCACAAGUAUCCAGCCCCACAGAAAUACUGUAUUAUUGUUGUCACUCCGAGACCAGAAGAGCUUUUUGAAGAAGUUAUCUACCGUAGAGAGGAGCUGCAAUACUUAGUAAUUUCUG
rnacentral:lncRNA from 1 species